AUUGAACGCUGGCGGCAGGCCUAACACAUGCCAGUCGAACGGUAACAGGGAUCAGCUUGCUGAUUCGCUGACGAGUGGCGGACGGGUGAGUAAUGUCUGGGAAACUGCCUGAUGGAGGGGGAUAACUACUGGAAACGGGACCUAAUACCGCAUAACGUCGCAAGACCAAAGAGGGGGACCUUCGGGCCUCUGGCCUUCGUAUGUGCCCAGACGGGAUUAGCUAGUAGGUGGGGUAACGGCUCACCUAGGCGACGCUCCCUACCUGAUCUGAGAGGAUGAGAAGCCACACUGGAACUGAGCCACGGUCCAGACUCCUACGGGAGGCAGCAGUGGGGAAAAGUGCACAAUGGGCGCAAGCCUGAUGCAGCCAUGCCGCGUGUAUGACGAAGGCCUUCGGGUUGGAAAGUUCUUUCAGCGGGGAGGAAGGGAGUAGAGUUAAUACCUUUGCUCAUUGACGUUACCCGAAGAAGAAGCACCGGCUAACUCCGUG
rnacentral:rRNA from 1 species